rnacentral:rRNA from 2 species
ACGAAAGUCUGACGGAGCAACGCCGCGUGAGUGAUGAAGGUUUUCGGAUCGUAAAGCUCUGUUGUUAGGGAAGAACAAGUGCAAGAGUAACUGCUUGCACCUUGACGGUACCUAACCAGAAAGCCACGGCUAACUACGUGCCAGCAGCCGCGGUAAUACGUAGGUGGCAAGCGUUGUCCGGAAUUAUUGGGCGUAAAGGGCUCGCAGGCGGUUUCUUAAGUCUGAUGUGAAAGCCCCCGGCUCAACCGGGGAGGGUCAUUGGAAACUGGGAAACUUGAGUGCAGAAGAGGAGAGUGGAAUUCCACGUGUAGCGGUGAAAUGCGUAGAGAUGUGGAGGAACACCAGUGGCGAAGGCGACUCUCUGGUCUGUAACUGACGCUGAGGAGCGAAAGCGUGGGGAGCGAACAGGAUUAGAUACCCUGGUAGUCCACGCCGUAAACGAUGAGUGCUAAGUGUUAGGGGGUUUCCGCCCCUUAGUGCUGCAGCUAACGCAUUAAGCACUCCGCCUGGGGAGUACGGUCGCAAGACUGAAACUCAAAGGAAUUGACGGGGGCCCGCACAAGCGGUGGAGCAUGUGGUUUAAUUCGAAGCAACGCGAAGAACCUUACCAGGUCUUGACAUCCUCUGACAACCCUAGAGAUAGGGCUUUCCCUUCGGGGACAGAGUGACAGGUGGUGCAUGGUUGUCGUCAGCUCGUGUCGUGAGAUGUUGGGUUAAGUCCCGCAACGAGCGCAACCCUUGAUCUUAGUUGCCAGCAUUUAGUUGGGCACUCUAAGGUGACUGCCGGUGACAAACCGGAG